rnacentral:rRNA from 1 species
UAGUCUGCAACUCGACUACAUGAAGCUGGAAUCGCUAGUAAUCGCGAAUCAGAAUGUCGCGGUGAAUACGUUCCCGGGUCUUGUACACACCGCCCGUCACACCAUGGGAGUCGGAUAUGCCCGAAGUCAGUGACCCAACCUUUUGGAGGGAGCUGCCGAAGGUGGAGCCGAUAACUGGGGUGAAGUCGUAACAAGGUAAC